GACGAACGCUGGCGGCGUGCUUAACACAUGCAAGUCGAACGGAAAGGCCCUGCUUUUGUGGGGUGCUCGAGUGGCGAACGGGUGAGUAACACGUGAGUAACCUGCCCUUGACUUUGGGAUAACUUCAGGAAACUGGGGCUAAUACCGGAUAGGAGCUCCUGCUGCAUGGUGGGGGUUGGAAAGUUUCGGCGGUUGGGGAUGGACUCGCGGCUUAUCAGCUUGUUGGUGGGGUAGUGGCUUACCAAGGCUUUGACGGGUAGCCGGCCUGAGAGGGUGACCGGGCAAAUUGGGAAAUGGAAACGGGCACAAAUCCCAAGGGGGGGAAGAGGGGGGAAUAUUGAAAAAAGGGGGGAAACCCGAAGGAAGAAAGGCGGGGGGGGGGAGAAGGGCCUUGGGGUUGAAAACGCGUUCGGCCGGGAAGGAGGGGGAGGGAAGGGAAAGGGGUAAGAAAGAACGGGUAAAUAAGGG
rnacentral:rRNA from 1 species